GCCAGGCGUGGUGGUGCACACCUGUAAUCCCAGCUACUCGGGAGGCUGAGUCAGAAGAAUCACUUGAACCCGGGAGGCAGAUGUUGCAGUGAGCUGAAAUCACGCCACUGCACUCUGGCCUGGGUGACAGAGUGAGACUCUGUCUCAA
ensembl:misc_RNA Metazoa_SRP Metazoan signal recognition particle RNA